GGGGUCCUCUAACAAUUUUGAUCAUGCUGACUUAUUUGUAGAUCUUACUUUGCUGAACAUUAUUGCUGUUUACAGUUUAUCUCUAUCUAUAAUAGUAUUCAAGAUAAUAACCAAAAACUGCAAAAUUUCCUUAAAAUCACCAAUUUUAGGGCAGCAACCAAACAACAGGUUGUCCGAUUCAACUCAAAAUUUGUGAGGGGAUAUAUCUUAUUCUGAUGGACAUUUAAAUCUUGAAAGAUUUGCCCUAAAUGUCUUAGUUUCAAAGAUAUAAAGCAAUAACUGCAUUUUACCACUAUGUUCUAAUUUUAGCCAUGUCGGCCAUUUUGUUUGGUAGGCUGGGUCAUCGGACACAUUUUUUACAACUAUAAACCACAAUGAUAAUUGUGGCCAAGUUUGGUUAAAUUUGGCAAAGUAGUUUUGGAGAAGAAGAUUUUUAGAAAAGUUACAAAAAAUGACAAAAAGUUGUUAAAAAUUGACUAUAAAGGGCAAUAACUCCUUAAGGGGUCAACUGACAAUUUUGGUCAUGUUGACUUAUUUGUAGGUCUUACUUUGCUGAACAUUAUUGCUGUUUACAGUUUAUCUCUAUCUAUAAUAGUAUUCAAGAUAAUAACCAAAACUGCAAAAUUUCCUUAAAAUUAACCAUUCACAGGCAGCAACCCAACAACAGGUUGUCCUAUUCGUCUGAAAAUUUCAGGGCAGAUAGAUCUUCACCUGAUCAACCAUUUUACCCCAUGUCAGAUUUGCUCUAAAUGCUUUGGUUUUUGAGUUAUAAGCCAAAAACUGCAUUUUACCCCUAUGUUCUAUUUUUAGCCAUGGCGGCCAUCUUGGUUGGUUUGAUGGGUCACGCCACACAUUUUUUAAACUAGAUACCCCAAGGAUGAUUGUGGCCAAGUUUGGUAGAAUUUGGCCCAGUAGUUUCAGAGGAGAAGAUUUUUGUAAAAGUUUACAGACGACGGACGACGGACGACGGACGACGGACGCAGGACGACGGACGACGGACGCCAAGUGAUGAGAAAAGCUCACUUGACCUUUCAGGUCAGGUGAGCUAAAAAGGAAUUUAGC
rnacentral:lncRNA from 1 species